AGCUAGAACUAGAACGAGGUGGGGCUCAGAAUAGGACCGACCCGUGUAUACUGCUAAGCCUGGCGGUAAAGCGACUGCGCGUACUUAAGGGCUGCUGGCGCUCGGCGUAUUCUAGUUCGGCCCAGCCACACACGGCAAUCGGUAUAUCCCUACGCUUGCCUGUAAACCUAACUGAAUGGUGCUGACGGUCGGUAAGCACCAGUCAACCGGGUUUGCCGGCUGGCUUGAGUGCGUCAUUGGAAGAAGCUAGGAUACCCGGAAAAGCGCCGUCCUCCCAGAAACUACAAGAGCCCUCGUCAAGGAUCUAGAUGCGGCGGAAAUGAGUCGUUUUUAACUGUCGCCACAGCUGCUGCUAGAAGUACUCUGAUGGUCCAGCAGUUGCCUACCGUUGGCGCCCAUACACCGGCAUGAAUCCAGGACACGACAGGGUAGUAGUUCGAAGCUAUCGGUUCGGUCAGGUUCUGAUGCCAAGGACGAGGAUUAUUGCGGCUUAUUGGCGAAACGGACGGAAAAACAACAAACUUCUUCGAAUGCAUCGUUUUGCUCACCAGACAACACGCCUGUAUUGCCUGUCUCUGUGUAUGCGUGGCUAAUUUGCGGGAUGGACGCUUCGGAACGUCCACGCCUGCCCUGUUCCUCUGCAGGGGCAUGACGGCAGCUCGUAAAAGGCGCUCACGUUCAACCACGGACAAAAUGAAAAUCGAACAAGGGUACUAUCGGAAUCAGGAUCGAGCAGAUUUUGGAAUGCUUC